rnacentral:rRNA from 1 species
UCGCAGGCUGCAACCCGCCUGCGUGAAGUCGGAAUCGCUAGUAAUCGCGGAUCAGCAUGCCGCGGUGAAUACGUUCCCGGGCCUUGUACACACCGCCCGUCACACCAUGAGAGUCGGGAACACCCGAAGCCCGUAGCCUAACUUUAACGAGAGGGCGCGGUCGAAGGUGGGUUCGAUAAUUGGGGUGAAGUCGUAACAAGGUACC